rnacentral:rRNA from 1 species
ACAGCAGCCGCCGCGGUAACACGUAGGUGGCAAGCGUUAUCCGGAAUUAUUGGGCGUAAAGCGCGCGUAGGCGGUUUUUUAAGUCUGAUGUGAAAGCCCACGGCUCAACCGUGGAGGGUCAUUGGAAACUGGAAAACUUGAGUGCAGAAGAGGAAAGUGGAAUUCCAUGUGUAGCGGUGAAAUGCGCAGAGAUAUGGAGGAACACCAGUGGCGAAGGCGACUUUCUGGUCUGUAACUGACGCUGAUGUGCGAAAGCGUGGGGAUCAAACAGGAUUAGAUACCCCAGUAGUCCCUGUCUCUUAUAC